rnacentral:rRNA from 1 species
UCAUCUUCGGGGGUAGAGCACUGUUUCGGCUAGGGGGUCAUCCCGACUUACCAACCCGAUGCAAACUACGAAUACCGAAGAAUGUUAUCACGGGAGACACACGGCGGGUGCUAACGUCCGUCGUGAAGAGGGAAACAACCCAGACCGCCAGCUAAGGUCCCAAAGUCAUGGUUAAGUGGGAAACGAUGUGGGAAGGCACAGACAGCCAGGAUGUUGGCUUAGAAGCAGCCAUCAUUUAAAGAAAGCGUAAUAGCUCACUGGUCGAGUCGGCCUGCGCGGAAGAUGUAACGGGGCUAAACCAUGCACCGAAGCUGCGGCAGCGACACUAUGUGUUGUUGGGUAGGGGAGCGUUCUGUAAGCCUGCGAAGGUGUGCUGUGAGGCAUGCUGGAGGUAUCAGAAGUGCGAAUGCUGACAUAAGUAACGAUAAAGCGGGUGAAAAGCCCGCUCGCCGGAAGACCAAGGGUUCCUGUCCAACGUUAAUCGGGGCAGGGUGAGUCGACCCCUAAGGCGAGGCCGAAAGGCGUAGUCGAUGGGAAACAGGUUAAUAUUCCUGUACUUGGUGUUACUGCGAAGGGGGGACGGAGAAGGCUAUGUUAGCCGGGCGACGGUUGUC